GAUGAACGCUAGCUACAGGCUUAACACAUGCAAGUCGAGGGGAAACGAUAUUGGAAGCUUGCUUCCGAUAGGCGUCGACCGGCGCACGGGUGAGUAACGCGUAUCCAACCUGCCCACCACUUGGGGAUAACCUUGCGAAAGUAAGACUAAUACCCAAUGACGUCUCUAGAAGACAUCUGAAAGAGAUUAAAGAUUUAUCGGUGAUGGAUGGGGAUGCGUCUGAUUAGCUUGUUGGCGGGGUAACGGCCCACCAAGGCGACGAUCAGUAGGGGUUCUGAGAGGAAGGUCCCCCACAUUGGAACUGAGACACGGUCCAAACUCCUACGGGAGGCAGCAGUGAGGAAUAUUGGUCAAUGGGCGAGAGCCUGAACCAGCCAAGUAGCGUGCAGGAUGACGGCCCUAUGGGUUGUAAACUGCUUUUAUAAGGGAAUAAAGUGAGUCUCGUGAGACUUUUUGCAUGUACCUUAUGAAUAAGGACCGGCUAAUUCCGUGCCAGCCGCCGCCGUAA
rnacentral:rRNA from 1 species